GUAGGGAAUAUUGCACAAUGGAGGAAACUCUGAUGCAGCGACGCCGCGUGAGUGAUGAAGGCCUUCGGGUCGUAAAGCUCUGUCGCAGGGGAAUAACACAAUGAAGGUACCCUGUAAGAAAGGAUCGGCUAACUUCGUGCCAGCAGCCGCGGUAAGACGAGGGAUCCUAGCGUUGUUCGGAAUCAUUGGGCGUAAAGCGGAUGUAGGUGGCUAUGUAAGUCAGAUGUGAAAGCCUGGGGCUCAACCCCAGAAGUGCAUUUGAUACUGCGUAGCUUGAGUGUCGGAGAGGUUACUAGAAUUGUUGGUGUAGUGGUGAAAUACGUAGAUAUCAACAGGAAUACCGGAGGCGAAGGCGGGUAACUGGCCGAACACUGACACUGAGAUCCGAAAGCGUGGGGAUCAAACAGGAUUAGAUACCCGGGUAGUCC
rnacentral:rRNA from 1 species